rnacentral:rRNA from 1 species
CUUUCAGCAGUGAGGAAGGCGGGGUAUGGUUAAUUAGCAUAUUCGUUUGACGUUAGCUGCAGAAGAAGCACCGGCUAACUCCGUGCCAGCAGCCGCGGUAAUACGGAGGGUGCGAGCGUUAAUCGGAAUUACUGGGCGUAAAGCGCAUGCAGGUGGUUUGUUAAGUCAGAUGUGAAAGCCCGGGGCUCAACCUCGGAAUAGCAUUUGAAACUGGCAGACUAGAGUACUGUAGAGGGGGGUAGGAAUUUCAGGUGUAGCGGUGAAAUGCGUAGAGAUCUGAAGGAAUACCGGUGGCGAAGGCGGCCCCCCUGGACAGAUACUGACACUCAGAUGCGAAAGCGUGGGGAGCAAACAGGAUUAGAUACCCCUGGUAG